GGUUAAGUGGGAAACGAUGUGGGAAGGCCCAGACAGCCAGGAUGUUGGCUUAGAAGCAGCCAUCAUUUAAAGAAAGCGUAAUAGCUCACUGGUCGAGUCGGCCUGCGCGGAAGAUGUAACGGGGCUAAACCAUGCACCGAAGCUGCGGCAGCGACGCUUAUGCGUUGUUGGGUAGGGGAGCGUUCUGUAAGCCUGCGAAGGUGUGCUGUGAGGCAUGCUGGAGGUAUCAGAAGUGCGAAUGCUGACAUAAGUAACGAUAAAGCGGGUGAAAAGCCCGCUCGCCGGAAGACCAAGGGUUCCUGUCCAACGUUAAUCGGGGCAGGGUGAGUCGACCCCUAAGGCGAGGCCGAAAGGCGUAGUCGAUGGGAAACAGGUUAAUAUUCCUGUACUUGGUGUUACUGCGAAGGGGGGACGGAGAAGGCUAUGUUGGCCGGGCGACGGUUGUCCCGGUUUAAGCGUGUAGGCUGGUUUUCCAGGCAAAUCCGGAAAAUCAAGGCUGAGGCGUGAUGACGAGGCACUACGGUGCUGAAGCAACAAAUGCCCUGCUUCCAGGAAAAGCCUCUAAGCAUCAGGUAACAUCAAAUCGUACCCCAAACCGACACAGGUGGUCAGGUAGAGAAUACCAAGGCGCUUGAGAGAACUCGGGUGAAGGAACUAGGCAAAAUGGUGCCGUAACUUCGGGAGAAGGCACGCUGAUAUGUAGGUGAAGUCCCUCGCGGAUGGAGCUGAAAUCAGUCGAAGAUACCAGCUGGCUGCAACUGUUUAUUAAAAACACAGCACUGUGCAAACACGAAAGUGGACGUAUACGGUGUGACGCCUGCCCGGUGC
rnacentral:rRNA from 1 species